rnacentral:sRNA from 1 species
CAGCCAAGCGUUCAUAGCGACGU